rnacentral:rRNA from 1 species
CAUGUCCUUUUGUUUAUGAUUUAAGGUCGGACCUGCACGAUGAGAUAUUAAAUUGCCGCAGUAUAUUGACUGUGCAAAGGUAGCAUAAUAAUUAGUUUUUUGAAUGGGAGCUUGAAUGAAGGGUUGGACAAGAUAUAAGCUGUCUCUAACUUAUUUGUUAUUGAAUUUUAUUUUUAAGUUAAAAAGCUUAAAUUUGUUUAAAAGACGAGAAGACCCUAUAGAGUUUUAUGUUUUUUUUAAAUUAUGUGUUAGUAUAUUAAUUGAUUAAGGAUAUUUAGUUGGGGUGACUUGAGGAUUGAUUUAAUUCCUUAAAAAUUUUAUUGAUGAUUUUUAAUUUUAUAGUCUAGAGGUUUUAAGUUUAAAUUAAAUUACCUUAGGGAUAACAGCGUAAUUUUCCUUUAAAGUUCUAAUUGGAAGGGGAGAUUGCGACCUCGAUGUUGGAUUAAAAUUAAUUGUUGGUGUAGCAGCUGGUGGAUUGGGUCUGUUCGACCCUUAAAAUUUUACAUGAUCUGAGUUUAGACCGGUGUGAACCAGGUUAGAUUCUAUCUUUAGAAGUUUUACGUUUCUUAGUACGAAAGGACCAGGUAUGUGUUAUAUAAUCUAGUUGU